AUUUUACGUGGAUUUGAAGAAAGGUGCAGGAUUAACUAAACAAAAGUGCUUGUUGUUCUACGCUUCCUGAGCCAAAGGGGAGAAACAGGGUGGAAGGGACAGGACUGCUUCUCAGAAGCCGCCAUCCAGAAGGGACAGACGUCACUUCCAUUCACGGUCACUGUUUAGUGUCCAAUGACUUGUAAUUAAAAUAGCCCAGACAUACAGAGAGAAUAUGCCAGCCUUACCACUGAAGGGAUCAGCAGAAGCAGGAGAGAGAGAGCAUUGAA